UCCCUCUUAGCUCAGUGGUAGAGCGCGUCACUAGUACGCAUCUAUGACGAGGUCAGUCGUUCAAGUCGGCUAGAGGGAA